rnacentral:rRNA from 1 species
AGAGUUUGAUCAUGGCUCAGAUUGAACGCUAGCGGCAUGCCUUACACAUGCAAGUCGAACGGCAGCACGGGAGCAAUCCUGGUGGCGAGUGGCGAACGGGUGAGUAAUAUAUCGGAACGUGCCCAGUCGUGGGGGAUAACGUAGAGAAAUUUACGCUAAUACCGCAUACGAUCUACGGAUGAAAGCGGGGGAUCGCAAGACCUCGCGCGAUUGGAGCGGCUGAUAUCAGAUUAGGUUGUUGGUGGGGUAAAAGCCUACCAAGCCGUCGAUCUGUAGCUGGUUUGAGAGAACGACCAGCCACACUGGGACUGAGACACGGCCCAGACUCCUACGGGAGGCAGCAGUGGGGAAUUUUGGACAAUGGGCGCAAGCCUGAUCCAGCAAUGCCGCGUGCAGGAAGAAGGCCUUCGGGUUGUAAACUGCUUUUGUACGGAACGAAACGGUCCUCUCUAAUACAGGGGGCUAAUGACGGUACCGUAAGAAUAG